AGACACUGGGGAGCUCUCCAACAAAAGAUCACCUCCCAAAGAACAGGAUGGUGUCGAAGACUGAAUGCCAGCCUGAGGAAACAGAAAUACUACAGAAGCACGCCAGAGCCUGCAGUGUCUCCUCGCUGCCUCUCAAUGAACUGCUAAAAGACCAAGAACUCUGCUGAGAGAUAAGGAGAGGGGAGGGUGUGCUGCAGGUGGUGCUGGGAGGCCCAGACCUUCUCCUGACAUCUGGGGCUGGCUACAGGAAACAGAAACAUCACCCAGGCUUGGUGCGAGACAGGACAGAGGCAGAUUGUGACUCAGAUCUGCAGGUGGAAAGUGGGCCUUUGGUUUUCUCCUAGGGGUAGAGCAAAGCCAGAGGGCUCACUCGGAGGAAAGCUAAGGCAGUUCAUGAUCCCUUCAACUUUAUACCAUUUCCUCAAAACUGCCUCCAAACAGUGGGAAACUGGAAAGGUGGUCUGACCUCCAGUGAUCACAUAGUAUGCAUUAUAACAGAAGGCUGUCACUGUCAGUUGCAUGGCCCCUCACUAGUGACUCAUGAAAUUAGCAAGUGGUGAGAAGAGGGCAGUAGAUUCAGCGGCUGCUAAAAAAGGUUACUGAACUUUUUGUUUCAUCAAUGCCAAGAAAUUAAUCUGUUUUAGCCUCUUUCAUGGCCUCUGUUUGAAA
rnacentral:lncRNA from 1 species